GAUGAACCGGACGAACGUUAUUCGGAAUCACUGGGCUUAAAGAGUACGUAGGCGGCCAGGUAGGUUGGGUGUGAAAUCCCGCAGCUCAACUGCGGAACUGCGCCCAAAACCACUUGGCUUGAGGGAAGCAGAGGUAAGCGGAACAGAUGGUGGAGCGGUGAAAUGCGUUGAUAUCAUCUGGAACACCAGUGGCGAAGGCGGCUUACUGGGCUUCUACUGACGCUGAGGUACGAAAGCUAGGGUAGCGAACGGG
rnacentral:rRNA from 1 species